AAGAAGAGAGCAGCAUUUAAUGGCAUCAAAGCAGCUCUCAGAGCAUCAGCUAUUAAAUACAGCCUCAGAUAUCCAGCCAUUUUCAUAAUGAAGAUGACAGAUUCUGUGAAAUACUUCAAUACUCCUUUGGCUGCUUGGCAAGCAGUAUUGGAUUUGAGACCAGAUCUCACUAAGGAAAAAGACAUGCAAAGGCUUUCAAUCUACUGGGCAUCAAUGAGCAGCUGAACAAUCACUAAUUUUUCAUGAACGCUAUUAAGUUUUGUUCUUGUUAAAAUGAGGAACACGUCAGGGAUGUCAUCUAUCGCCUCUACUAUUUGAUAUACCUAUGGAACCGCUAGAAGCAUAUAUCAGACAGACACCUUCCACUGAAGGAAUUACCAUCUGGGAUAAAGAGUAAAGAUUAGUCUAUAUGCGGAUGACAUUCUGCUUACACUCAAAAAUCCCUUCUCUUCAAUUCCAUCACUACUAUCUGCAAUAAACUACUUCAGUGAGAUAUCA